rnacentral:rRNA from 1 species
CCUACGGGAGGCAGCAGUAAGGAAUAUUGGUCAAUGGAGGCAACUCUGAACCAGCCAUGCCGCGUGCAGGAAGACUGCCCUAUGGGUUGUAAACUGCUUUUAUCCGGGAAUAAACCUGCUUACGUGUAAGUAGCUGAAUGUACCGGAAGAAUAAGGAUCGGCUAACUCCGUGCCAGCAGCCGCGGUAAUACGGAGGAUCCAAGCGUUAUCCGGAUUUAUUGGGUUUAAAGGGUGCGUAGGCGGCCUGUUAAGUCAGGGGUGAAAGACGGUAGCUCAACUAUCGCAGUGCCCUUGAUACUGAUGGGCUUGAAUGGACUAGAGGUAGGCGGAAUGAGACAAGUAGCGGUGAAAUGCAUAGAUAUGUCUCAGAACACCGAUUGCGAAGGCAGCUUACUAUGGUCUUAUUGACGCUGAGGCACGAAAGCGUGGGGAUCAAACAGGAUUAGAUACCCUGGUAGUCCACGCCCUAAACGAUGAACACUCGCUGUUGGCGAUACACAGUCAGCGGCUAAGCGAAAGCGUUAAAGUGUUCCACCUGGGGAGUACGCCCGCAAGGGUGAAACUCAAAGAGAGUGACGNGAGAGAGCGACGACGACGACGAGGAGGGAGGAGG